rnacentral:rRNA from 1 species
UACGGGGGGGGCAAGCGUUGUUCGGAAUUACUGGGCGUAAAGGGUUCGUAGGUGGCCCGCUAAGUCACACGUGAAAUCCCUCAGCUUAACUGGGGAACUGCGUGUGAGACUGGCGGGCUUGAGUGCAGGAGAGGAACGCGGAAUUCCAGGUGUAGCGGUGAAAUGCGUAGAUAUCUGGAGGAACACCGGUGGCGAAGGCGGCAUCCUGGACCGGCAUUGACGCUGAGGCGCGAAAGCUAGGGGAGCAAACGGG